UACGUUCCCGGCCUUGUACACACCGCCCGUCAAGCCAUGGAAGCUGGAAGUCGCCUGGAAGUGCGUAACCGCCAAGGAGCGUCCUAGGUAAAGUCGGUAACUGGGGCU
rnacentral:rRNA from 1 species